UCCCGUUGAUCCUGCGGGAGGUUGCUGCUAUUAGGAUUCGACUAAGCCAUGCAAGUUGGGUGAUUUUAGAUUACCUGCAGACUGCUCAGUAACACGUCGAUAAUCUGCCUUUAGGUCUAGGAUAACCUCGGGAAACUGAGGGUAACACUGGAUAGGGAAUUAUUUCUGGAAUGAUUUUUUCCUGAAAAGCAAUGCCUAAAGAUGAGUCGGCGGCCAAUUAGGUUGUUGGUGGGGUAAAGGCCCACCAAGCCGAAGAUUGGUAGGGGCCUUGAAAGAGGGAGCCUCGAGAAGGGCACUGAGAUACUGGCCCUAGCCCCACGGGGUGCAGCAGGCGCGAAACCUUUACAAUGCACGAAAGUGUGAUAAGGGAAUCCUAAGUGCUUAUGCUUUGCAUAGGUUUUUGCCAAAGGUAAAUACUUUGGCGAAUAAGUGGUGGGCAAGACUGGUGCCAGCCGCCGCGGUAACACCAGCGUCCACGAGUGGGAACCGCAUAUUGGGCCUAAAGCGUCCGUAGCCGGUUUGGUAAAUUUUCUGUGAAAUUGUUAAGCUAAACUUAACAACGUGCAGGAAAAACUGCCAGACUAGGAACCAGAGAGGAGUUAGAGGUAUUUUAGGGGGAGCGGUAAAAUGCUAUAAUCCCUAAAGGACCACCUGUGGCGAAAGCGUCUAACUAGAAUGGAUUCGACGGUGAGGGACGAAAGCCAGGGGAGCGAUCAGGAUUAGAUACCCUAGUAGUCCUGGCCAUAAACGCUGCGAGCUAGGUGUUGCAUAUUCUCCGCGAAUGUGCAGUGUCGAAGCGAAGGUGUUAAGCUCGCCGCCUGGGAAGUAUGGUCGCAAGACUGAAACUUAAAGGAAUUGGCGGGGGAGCACUACAAGGGGUGCGGCGUGCGGUUUAAUCUAAUUCAACGCAGAGAAUCUCACCAGCAGCGACGGCGGGAUGAAAGUCAGGCUAAAGGCCUUACUUGACGAGCCGAGAGGUAGUGCAUGGCCGCCGUCAGCUCGUGCCGUAAGGUGUCCUGUUAAGUCAGGCAACGAGCGAGACCUGUGCCUACAAUUGCUAACAACUCCAUCGGAGGAUUGAGCACAUUGUAGGAACUGCCUUCGAAAGAAGGAGGAAGGUGCAGGCAACGGUAGGUCUGUAUGCUCCGAAUCUGCUGGGCUACACGCGCGCAACAAUGGUAAGGACAGUGGGAUACGACUCCGAAAGGAGAAGUUAAUCCUCGAAACCUUAUCUAAGUACAGAUCGAGGGUUGUAACUCACCCUCGUGACGCUGGAAUCCCUAGUAAUCGGGUUUUAUCAUAGCCCGGUGAAUAUGUCCCUGCUCCUUGCACACACCGCCCGUCAAACCACCCGAGUAGGGUCUAGGUGAGGCCUUGUUUAGAAUAAGUUCGAAUCUAGGCUUUGUGAGGAGGGUUAAGUCGUCACAAGGUA
rnacentral:rRNA from 1 species